rnacentral:rRNA from 1 species
GAUGAACGCUGGCGGCGUGCUUAACACAUGCAAGUCGAGCGAAGCACUUUUGCGGAUUUCUUCGGAUUGAAGCAACUGUGACUGAGCGGCGGACGGGUGAGUAACGCGUGGGUAACCUGCCUCAUACAGGGGGAUAACAGUUGGAAACGGCUGCUAAUACCGCACAAGCGCACAGUACCGCAUGGUACGGUGUGAAAAACUCCGGUGGUAUGAGAUGGACCCGCGUCUGAUUAGCUAGUUGGCGAGGUAACGGCCCACCAAGGCGACGAUCAGUAGCCGACCUGAGAGGGUGACCGGCCACAUUGGGACUGAGACACGGCCCAGACUCCUACGGGAGGCAGCAGUGGGGGAUAUUGCACAAUGGAGGAAACUCUGAUGCAGCGACGCCGCGUGAGUGAAGAAGUAUUUCGGUAUGUAAAGCUCUAUCAGCAGGGAAGAAAAUGACGGUACCUGACUAAGAAGCCCCGGCUAACUACGUGCCAGCAGCCGCGGUAAUACGUAGGGGGCAAGCGUUAUCCGGAUUUACUGGGUGUAAAGGGAGCGUAGACGGCGACGCAAGUCUGAAGUGAAAUACCCGGGCUCAACCUGGGAACUGCUUUGGAAACUGUGUUGCUAGAGUGCUGGAGAGGUAAGCGGAAUUCCUAGUGUAGCGGUGAAAUGCGUAGAUAUUAGGAAGAACACCAGUGGCGAAGGCGGCUUACUGGACAGUAACUGACGUUGAGGCUCGAAAGCGUGNGGAGCAAACAGG